AACUGCUUCGGUGCUUCCGCAGUUCUGCAAGUGCUGUUUGGUUUAGCUGCCUCUUGCCGCUGGCAGCCAGCGGAAGCCAACCACCUUGUCCCCGUCGAGCACCGAGACCGCGACUCCUCACCGCACUGCGCCGCUCGCGAGAACCUCGCGUAAGCUUCGGCAAGCAGCAUCCGUCCCGCCGAUCGCAAUGCCGGAGGACAAGGAGUACGCGCCCCUGCCACUCGGCCAGGCGGCGGCGCCUGACCCCGAGGACCCCGUCAAGUCGCCGCCGCGACCCAGCUCGCCUGCCACGUCCACUCGCAAGGCAUGCUUUGCUGUUCUUCAAAGCUGGGUGUCAAGAAAAUUUAUGACCGGAUGUGUAGUUCUUUUCCCAAUUGCUGUCACAUUCUUCCUCACGUGGUGGUUUAUUCAAUUUGUUGAUGGUUUUUUCAGCCCACUCUAUGCAAAACUGGGGUUUGACAUGUUCGGCCUUGGAUUUUUUACCUCCCUGGUGUUCAUACUUCUUGUUGGAAUCUUUGUGUCUUCUUGGGUGGGUUCAACUGUCUUCUGGGUUGGAGAAUGGUUUAUAAAAAAAAUGCCAUUUGUAAGGCACAUAUACUCUGCAUCAAAGCAAGUUAGUACUGCUGUUUCACCAGAUCAAAAUACAACAGCAUUCAAAGAAGUAGCAAUUAUUAGUCAUCCCCGUGUUGGUGAAUAUGCGUUUGGAUUCAUAACAUCAACCAUGGUUCUUCAGACAGACAAAGGUGAUGAAGAAUUGUGUAGUGUUUAUGUGCCAACCAAUCAUUUAUAUAUCGGUGACAUCUUUUUGGUAAACUCCACCGACAUUAUAAGGCCCAAUUUGUCCAUUCGUGAAGGCAUUGAAAUAAUUGUUUCAGGAGGAAUGACUAUGCCACAGGUGAUCACGUCACUGGAACCAACACCUCGGAAGAGCCACGUCCGUUUAGACAGAGUGAGGACUGUAUGAGGCAUGAAUGAAAGCGAUGGGUGUUUCAGGUAUAUUCUUCUGCAGGAAGCAGGGUUCGAAAGCUAUUUUGAUGGAUUGUUUAAUUAAUGGAUUCAAAGCUGGGGCAUGGAGCAUGAAGCAGUAUCAGUUUGUAGAUUGCAUUCAGAACUCGGGUGCGCGUUGGUAGACGUAGAUACAUGACAACCUGCAUUGACUUUCGUUGCAAUCGGUUGGUGACACGAAUUUUGCAGCUCCACUUACAAGCACGAGAUGCACUUUUAACUGUUCUCCAGCAGUGUGCUAGAUCGUGUUUACCUGAACGCGAUUCAAUGCUGCAUCUACCAGUGUUACUUGUGUAUAUAAAGUUCCUUAUGCUACUGUCUAUCAAGAUCCCUAAUUCUUGCACAUUCAGUCACGAUAUGCUACAGUACAAAGAUCCCCGUUUCUUAUACAUUCAAUCACGACUAGGGAUGGAAAUGAGUA